AAUAUUGCACAAUGGAGGGAACUCUGAUGCAGCGACGCCGCGUGAGCGAUGAAGGCCUUCGGGUCGUAUAACUCUGUUGUUAGGGAAGAACAAGUAUCGUUCGAAUAGGGCGGUACCUUGACGGUACCUAACCAGAAAGCCACGGCUAACUACGUGCCAGCAGCCGCGGUAAUACGUAGGUGGCAAGCGUUAUCCGGAAUUAUUGGGCGUAAAGCGCGCGCAGGCGGUUUCUUAAGUCUGAUGUGAAAGCCCACGGCUCAAACGUGGAGGGUCAUUGAAAACUGGGAAGCUUGAGUGCAGAAGAGGAGAGUGGAAUUCCAUGUGUAGCGGUGAAAUGCGUAGAUAUAUGGAGGAACACCAGUGGCGAAGGCGACUCUCUGGUCUGCAACUGACGCUGAGGCGCGAAAGCGUGGGGAGCGAACA
rnacentral:rRNA from 1 species